GCAAGAGAGUGAAAGUGAGAAUGAAAGAAAACCUCAAGGGCAAGAAGCAAGCGUGGGAGAAGAAGUGAGAUAAGUUUAUUGACCUUUUGUACACAUUAUACAAGCCCCAGGAGAGAGACAGAGGGAGAGAGGAGGGAGAUAGUGUAGCAAGAGAGAAAGUAGGAAAUAUAAACAGGAAAUAGAUGGAAAAACAGAGCAAUCCUUUGGACCAAAGUAUAAACAAUAUGUACAGAAUAUGACCAUUUCCAUUGUCAAUAAAAUCUGAUUUAGAAACUUUACUUUGGAAAAUGUAUUCAUGUGAAAAUUUUAAUCGGAAUGCUUGUCUUUCCAGUUCAUGUGUUCGAUUAUGUGCAAAGCUUAUUACCUUGUCAGUCUGGGCCUGCAGGGCAUUAUGGAGUGUCCGGCCCUGCUGGAGCUCCUGGUUGAGCUUAUUGACUUCCUGUUGGUGCUGUUUUUCCAUAAACUGCCUCUCCUUCUGAAUCUCUGUCAACUCCUAGAGACAACACACAAAGCACCCCAGACUCUGAGCGGCCUUGAUUGAUGACAUCAGUGCAGGGCGUUUGGGAAGAGGAUGGUGAAUGUCUCCUGCCUGUUGGCCUAGAGUCAUCCCGUUCCCAUGGAAACGUAGCCAAGGGAGCAGAGAAGGCCUCUGAUUGGUCAGAUGGGUGGCGGUGGGGUGUGCUCUUGUGUUGUUGUCGUGGCAACGAAGCAGUGGGUACAUCUGAGAAGUGCAGCCGCUGCUGAGGAGGAAUGAAGAAUUGGAGAAAAAGAAAAAGGAGUGCGUGUGAAUAAGAUUUACAAACUGCAGGAUUCAAGCUGUUUGACAGAAGAAUGACUCCUUCCUGUUGUACUCAUUGAUGAAAGAGAAAAUUUCCUGUGAAAAUUACACUUCUUUCUAAAAGUGAAAGGAAGAGUGUGGGAGCUGGGGGGAAAGAAUAAAGGUGAACUGCAACAAACUCAACGUUCUUAUUUUUUUCAAACAUGAGAAAUCGGCAUUAAUGUGUAUCAAUUUUUUCAAUAACCAUCUUAUCAUUUAAAAGUUAUUAUUGUUAACUAAUUAUUCAGCCGUGGAAACAGCAUGCUUGUACUUACUCUGAUGUGAAGUGUCCGGCUCUGUCCUUCAUCUCGCUGCCCCAACCUCUCCUCCUUUCUGCUCCCUACACAACAAAAACGCAGCAUAUGAACUGGUUUUACAGCCUAAAAACAAUCACCCAAUGUGAUCACUAACAACAGCGAUGAAUAACUCAA
rnacentral:lncRNA from 1 species